UGAGGAAUAUUGCGCAAUGGGGGAAACCCUGACGCAGCGACGCCGCGUGGAUGAUGAAGGCUUUCGGGUCGUAAAAUCCUGUCAGAUGGAAAGAAAUGCAUAUAUGUUAAUACCAUGUAUGUUUGACGGUACCAUCAAAGGAAGCACCGGCUAACUCCGUGCCAGCAGCCGCGGUAAUACGGAGGGUGCAAGCGUUGUUCGGAAUUACUGGGCGUAAAGCGCGCGUAGGCGGUCUGUUAUGUCAGAUGUGAAAGUCCACGGCUCAACCGUGGAAGUGCAUUUGAAACUGGCAGACUUGAGUAUUGGAGGGGGUGGUGGAAUUCCCGGUGUAGAGGUGAAAUUCGUAGAUAUCGGGAGGAAUACCGGUGGCGAAGGCGACCACCUGGCCAAAUACUGACGCUGAGGUGCGAAAGCGUGGGGAGCAAACA
rnacentral:rRNA from 1 species